GAUGAACGCUGGCGGCGUGCCUAACACAUGCAAGUCGAGCGAUUCUCUUCGGAGAAGAGCGGCGGACGGGUGAGUAACGCGUGGGUAACCUGCCCUGUACACACGGAUAACAUACCGAAAGGUAUGCUAAUACGGGAUAAAAUGAGAGAGUCGCAUGGCUUUUUCAUCAAAGCUCCGGCGGUACAGGAUGGACCCGCGUCUGAUUAGCUAGUUGGUGAGGUAAUGGCUCACCAAGGCGACGAUCAGUAGCCGACCUGAGAGGGUGAUCGGCCACCUUGGAACUGAGACACGGUCCAAACUCCUACGGGAGGCAGCAGUGGGGAAUAUUGCACAAUGGGCGAAAGCCUGAUGCAGCAACGCCGCGUGAGCGAUGAAGGCCUUCGGGUCGUAAAGCUCUGUCCUCAAGGAAGAUAAUGACGGUACUUGAGGAGGAAGUCCCGGCUAACUACGUGCCAGCCGCCGCAGUAA
rnacentral:rRNA from 1 species